rnacentral:rRNA from 1 species
UACGUAGGGCGAAAGCGUUGUCCGGAAUUAUUGAGCGGAAAGAGCUCGUAGGCGGUCUGUUACGUCCGCUGUGAAAACCCAGGGCUUAACCCUGGGCUUGCAGUGGAUACGGGCAGACUAGAGGCAGGUAGGGGAGAAUGGAAUUCCCGGUGUAGCGGUGAAAUGCGCAGAUAUCGGGAGGAACACCGGUGGCGAAGGCGGGUCUCUGGGCCGAUACUGACGCUGAGGAGCGAAAGCGUGGGGAGCGAACAGG